GACGAACGCUGGCGGCGUGCUUAACACAUGCAAGUCGAACGGAAAGGCCCUGCUUUUGUGGGGUGCUCGAGUGGCGAACGGGUGAGUAACACGUGAGUAACCUGCCCUUGACUUUGGGAUAACUUCAGGAAACUGGGGCUAAUACCGGAUAGGAGCUCCUGCUGCAUGGUGGGGGUUGGAAAGUUUCGGCGGUUGGGGAUGGACUCGCGGCUUAUCAGCUUGUUGGUGGGGUAGUGGCUUACCAAGGCUUUGACGGGUAGCCGGCCUGAGAGGGUGACCGGCCACAUUGGGAAUGAGCUACGGCCCAGACUCCUACGGGAGGCAGCAGUGGGGAAUAUUGCACAAUGGGCGGAAGCCUGAUGCAGCAACGCCGCGUGCGGGAUGACGGCCUUCGGGUUGUAAACCGCUUUCGCCUGUGACGAAGCGUGAGUGACGGUAAUGGGUAAAGAAGCACCGGCUAACUACGUG
rnacentral:rRNA from 1 species